rnacentral:rRNA from 1 species
UAGGGAAUCUUCCGCAAUGGGCGAAAGCCUGACGGAGCAACGCCGCGUGAGUGAUGAAGGUCUUCGGAUCGUAAAACUCUGUUAUUAGGGAAGAACAAAUGUGUAAGUAACUAUGCACGUCUUGACGGUACCUAAUCAGAAAGCCACGGCUAACUACGUGCCAGCAGCCGCGGUAAUACGUAGGUGGCAAGCGUUAUCCGGAAUUAUUGGGCGUAAAGCGCGCGUAGGCGGUUUUUUAAGUCUGAUGUGAAAGCCCACGGCUCAACCGUGGAGGGUCAUUGGAAACUGGAAAACUUGAGUGCAGAAGAGGAAAGUGGAAUUCCAUGUGUAGCGGUGAAAUGCGCAGAGAUAUGGAGGAACACCAGUGGCGAAGGCGACUUUCUGGUCUGUAACUGACGAUGAUGUGCGAAAGCGUGGGGAUCAAACAGG